AGUACACUUACGACAAGUGCUGAGAAGUGUGUAGAAUUGUUGAAUCACUAUAUUGUACACUGAAACUAAUAUAACACUGUAUGUUAAUUAUACUGGAAUUAAAAAAAGAUCUCCUAUAGAUGUUUUGCCUUACGCAAUGAUGGAAAGCCCAUUUGUCUCUAGGCAAUAUGAAGGAGGCUUGGCUUCUGAACACACAUAGGGAUAUCCUGGCAAGUACCAUAGCUGACUUGAAUGAGGCAGGACAUUCACAUUCACUGUCCUUUGUGGUUAUAGGAUAGUGAGGUGGUAGAAAGUACAAAGGAAUUUCAGGCCAUACAGUCAGUCAUGGCUUGGGAUGCAGGAGUGGGGGUGCAAUGAUCUGAUCGCCUUCCUGUUGUUUUUCUCCAGACUGGUCCUUUGUGCCUUAGACCUACAGCUUCUGCUUGGAGGGAUUUGUGAUGGAGAAAAACGUGUGGAUGCUUGGACAGGACCUCAUCGUUGGCCUUUGGAAUGAGAGGCCUGGUAUAUCAGGAGUGGCCCACAGCUACAUUUGUGCUCUGACACGUUGGGAAGCCCCCAUGAUCUGUUCAGAAGAGAGCUAUUCACAGCUCAUUGCCAGGAAGGGGACCUAUGUGAGCAAAGGGGUCAAGUCCAGUCAGCUGGAACUAAGUGAGAAAAAUGCGAUGAUGCUUUAAAGGGAAAUUAGUAUAGCCAGUUUUACUCUCUGGGAAGCUUACACCGGAUAUGAUUUAUUUGUUGACUUUAUGAUAAUAUGGAAAAUGAAGACCUGGUUAAUUUCAGGUGAAUCUGACAUAAAAGAGGCAGUAUAAUUUCAAGUGAAUCUGCUCGGAAGACUGCAUAUCUCGUGAAGAAAAGGAAUCUGACUUUUAGGAGCAGUGAUAGUCUGUCACAUAAAACGUGCGUAGUGAAGAAGAUCGAACCUGACAUGGAUCGUGACCGUGGUCGGGACCAGAGAGAUGGUAUCCCCAGGUCUCUCCAGCUCUCUGAUCCAUGCAGAAUCAAAACACCUUUUAAGAAAAGAAUAAAGAAGCCUCAUCAGAGAGAAGUGAAAGUAUUGCUGGAUUCCUCUUGGCUGAAGACAGAGUCAACAGAAAGUUGGAGGAGAAUGUAUCAACCACACCAAAGGAGUUUCUGAUGUCAAGCCUUUAACUGUAUGGAGAGUGAAAGGCCUUCUUGCAGUGGUGAGCUGGCUGUGAGUGAUGUCAUGAGGAUCUGUCCCGUGUAAGCCUCAGGAUGUCUUCGAUGGAAGAACGGGAGGGAUGAUUGUUGCCUUAAUGAUUACAGCAGUGGCUGCCAAUUCACUAAUGGUUGGAACAUGUAAUUAGAACUUGAGAACUUAACUCUAGUCAUGACUAUGCCAAUUACCAUGGCUUUGAGCACGCUCUUCACUCUCUUGGGAAGGAGGUACCAUAUUUUGUGAUUAGGAGCUUGAGAUGUGGAGUCAGACUGCCCGGGUUCAAAUCCUAGCUCCACAACUUAUGAGCUAAAUGUUUUUGGGGGUUGGAUUGGAUGACGGAUAAAAUCAUCAACUAAUUUGUUACACUGUACACCUUGGGGCCUGCGACAGUGCCUGGCACACAACGGCUACUCAACAUAUGCUUGUUGACUGAAUGGCUGAGGUUUUGCAUUUCACCGGAUGGGAAUUUUAUGAGAACCUGUUUUGGGACGUCUAUCAUGCAGACAUGUUACCUCAUGAAAUUAAAAAUCUCCAGAGUGUUAAGAUGAAUAAAUUAAGAACAUGAACGAUUUAUGGAGAACUAACUCUUGCAGUCAGAGUCCAAUCAGGGAAACGAAUGAGCUCACACCGUAGUUCAAUAGAGGCCACUGAACACAAGGAACAAAGGCGCGAACAGAACUGGAAAGCCAUCGGGAUAGUGAGGCAGCUUGGAGAGUGGCCAGGAGGAGGAGAUGAUGCUACUGGAGCUUGAUGCUGAGGCAGCCACCAAGCAGGAGCUGAGAGCUGGGGUUGUGGAGGAACAGGUUGUCUAGUGGAACAAGCCAAUGCUUGUUCAGGUUGAAUGGAGAAUUCCCCAUUCUCAAUGCCUCCCAUUGGCUGGAUCCAUCCAGAAGCCAGCUGGCAGAGAAAGAUGGGAACUGAAUUUUGUAGAGGUGCUCGUGAGGGCUGUGAACGGAUGCGAGGGGAAGCAGGCCAGGUCCAGCACCCUAACCAGACUGUGGCCAGGCUGGCCCUCAGGUCAAAUCUACCAGCUGCCCGGUUUUGUAAAUAAAGUUUUAUUGGAACAAAGCCACACCCACUCAUUUACACAUUGCCUGUGGCUGUUUUGAUGCUACGUCUGCAGAGGUGAGUCCUUGUGAAAAAGACCAUAUGACCUUUUACAAAAAGUUGCUUAUCCUGGUGCGAGACUGUGUCUAACCCAUACAACCACUGGCCUGGUAAGUAUUUCUACCCUUCUUUUGCAAAUGGGGAAACAGGCUUGUGAAACAGACCUGACUUGCCUGAGGCUGAGUGCACCAGGCCUGAAUGAAACUUGCAUUUGACCUCCAUCUAGUCGUUACCAAAUUCCAAGUACCUUCACUGCACCCCCAGGUCCCUCAGGCCCCACUGGGCCACCUCAGCUCCUGGUCUUCUGCUGAAACAAAAUGGCACCUUGGGUUGGUAUCUCUCCAUGGCACGUCUCUGCCUGUUGUUGCCUCACCAACAAGUUCAUGGUAGCUGAGGGGUCAGGGGUCGUCUGAGCUGGAAUGGACCAGGACUUCACAGGAGAGAAUUCAAAUGUCUGGGGCUUGAAGCUCUCUGUUUGUCUGAUUGUCCUUUCCAGGGAGGCAGCUGGCCCUUAAGAGGCUCUUCUCCCUGCCUCAUAGUCUGCACAGUCAUCACAACUAAGCAAGAAGACCAAAAGAUUUGGGAGAACAUCUCUGACAUAAAGGAAAUCAAUGUUAAAAUGAGAUUUGCUUUAUAAAAUGUACAGUAUAGCCAACUCCUUUUAGGAAUGCUUCUCCUGUGAAGCUAAGUACACCUGUCUGAUGAAAAAACAAAAAUCUCAAAACAAAAUAUGAUUGCCAACUUUCUCCACAUCGCUUGGGGAUUCCUCGUAAGUAAUAGCAUUUAUGAGUCCAGCUGGGUGGCCUUGGUGCACAUGACAACAGCAGGACAAAAUCUCCCGAAACACGGGACAAUUUAUGUUUGUGGAGAAUUCCAAGUGAUUGUGAGGUAGCCGCUACUUGCAUUUGCUUUGCUCGCACAGAUGAUGAGAAAUUGCAUCUCUGGGAAGAACUUAAGGGGGCGAACUGAAUGCAUGUGAGAUUAAAGAAAUCAAGAUUUGCAUGUGAUGACACACAAAAAGGGCAGAGCCGUGGCCGUGGCAUUAUUUGGCUUAGCAUUUAGCCAACACGGAUAUUUUUAUAAUGUAUUAAGCGCGCUUUCCUGCCUCCAUGAAAAUGAUACUCCUGACCACUCCUCAUAUGGCCACUGACACCAGUUGUGCUUUUAAAGCCAUGACGAAGCUCAGGUGACCACCUGAACCCUUCACUCUCUCCUCUGACUAUCAGACGUUUGGAAUGACUUAGCCUGUUUCCUCGAGCUGGCACAGGGCUGCGGCCAGAGGAGGCAUUGAGCUGUCUCCAUCAUCCCUGGUGCAGGCAGCAGGCAGCAGGCACUUGCUUCUGAGUGGCUCUGGGGCUCAAGAAUCUAUUUCCAUCUUGGGGAUCCUGGGUAAAUUUGUAACCCCUUGGAUCCAGAAGUUCACUACCAUUUAAUGGGAGGCAAUAUGAUUGCGUGAGGGAAGCUGGGGCUCCAGAGGUGAAAACACCCAGAUUUAAAUCCUCUGUUUAUUAGCUCAUCCUCUCACGAAUCUGAUCCUCUCUCUAGGCCUGAGAGGCAGCUGAGGAUGUCUCUGUGGUAGGCUGUAUAGCGGUCCCCAAAGAUACCCAGGUCCUAAUCCUUGGAAUCCUGGGUGUGUUACCUUAUAUGGAAAGAGGAUCUAUGCAGAUAUGAUGAAGUUAAGGAUCUAGAGAUAGGGAGAUUAUCCUGGAUUAUCUGGGUGGGCCCUAAAUGCCAUCACAAGUGUCCUUAUAAGAAGCAGGCAGAGGGAUUUCUGAUGCACAAGAGGAAGAAGGCAGUGUCACAAGGAUGGAAGCCGAGGGAGAUUUGAAGAUGCUACACUACUGGCUGUGGAGAUAGAGGAAGGGACCACAAGCCAAGGACGGCAAGGAGUCUCGGCAGCCUCUAGAAGUUAGAGAAGACAGAGAAGCCGAUUUUCAUCCAGAGCCUCCAGAAGGAGCAUAGCCCUGCUGACACCAUUCUCUUCAGCCCAGUGAAACUGAUUUUGGACUUCUGGCCUCCAGAACUAUAAGACAAAAAAUGUGUGCUAUUUUAAGCUGCCAUGUUUGUGGUAUUUGUUACAGCAGCCACAGGAUGCUAAUAGAGCCUCCUGCCGUGGUUGUGGUAUGUAAGAGUCAUGCUCGAGAAAGAUACUAAAUCAAGUCAGGAAACCAUGCCCAAAGCAAGGGGGAGGGAUCUGAGGUAAGUUAGGAGUAUCUGAGGUGACUCUGGGGACAAGUGCAGUAACUGUGAGAAUAAACCCUCUUGCUCUUCAAGCUUAGACUACAAUAUAAGAAUCUAUCCCUGGCAGUGGCACUUAUGUCUCUGGCAUGGAUCUGGCCCACUGUCCCCUAUGCCCUGGACCCUUGCUGUUCUUCUUUGGCCAUCCUGAUAUCCCAUCCUGCCUACCUGAUAAGCCAUGUCACUCACAUCAACCUGUAGCUCAGAUACUGGGAUGGUGGUGAGGGCAUGGCUUCUGAAUCCCACGUCCCUGAUCACAAACUGACUACUCAGUCUGCCCUUUCCCUGCUGUGGAGUGUAGAUUAGAGUUUGUGGGUGGGAGAUGGCUGAAUAACUUUCAGUGAGGAGACCCACCAGGAGAACUGAGAACCCAGGGGAAGGAAGAAGCUGUAAUGGAGGAAAAGGCUCCAUGGUCAACCCAUUUGACCUCAAGCUCGGGCUAUUGCCUUUGAGCUAAAGAGAGCUGCUGCUGUCCUCCUCACCCAAGGGCUUCAAAGCUGUUUCCACAGAAUCCAAUGGAUCCUUGUUUGGGACAAUAGCUCCCCUGCAAGUUGGCAAGUGAGAGGCCUCAUGGUGAUUUAGAUUUCCAUAUGGGUGGUCUAGACAGAUGGCCAAUGCUAAGACUGACUCACAGAGUUCUUGGGGGAAUUGGAGGAAGGUAACACACACACACACACACACACACACACACACACCCCUCAGGACUGCUUAGUGUAUGAACUUGAGUAUCCCUAGGAACAGAAUACUAGAGAAUCAUCAGUGUGGUUAAAAACAAUGGCCACCACCAAAGCAGCAAUAAUCAUAAGAAAAGGGUUCAUUUUUCUGCCUUCCAAGAAAUGUGGGAGUAAAGAAGCCUCUGGUCAUCUGUGUGCAUGGGGAGAUAAGGAGCAGCCCUGGAGAGAAGGUAGCCCAAAGUCAGGUGGAGUCUGGGCCACCCUGGAAAUAGCAGCUGGAGUAAGGAUGAGUUAGGAUGAAUGUACCACCUCCUUCCUGCCCCUCUAUUAUAGAAACAAAGCUAAUGUCACUGUUCUGUAAGACGUCUGAAGAAGAUCAUUACAGCUAGUCCUGUGGUUCUUCUAAGUCUGAUCUGAGACAGCAAAAUGACUCUUAGCCCAAGGAUGAAAGAGUUGUCAUUCAUAAGUCAUCAUGACCGUGCUGUUUGGACACUGAGCUCUCUUCAGAUCAGGCUCAUAUCAGGUGGUGAAUCUGAGAACAAUGAAUCAUCCCAGGGCCAGGUACCAGACAAGUCAGGACAGCCCCUACAUCCCAGGUCCCAUGAAAGUUAUUCAAAUUAGGUAAACUGAAGCCUGCUCACACUGUCCUGCCUGCUCCUCCCAGUGGAAACCACAACAGAGGCUCUCACUCAUUAUGUCUGCUCACCCCUCUGCCUCCUGAUGCCUCCCGGUGCUCCUUUGUGUGGCUCCAUGUGGCAUCGUGUGCCCCCUCCUCUUGAAAACGGUGAGUAGCAAGCUAUCUUUCCCAUGGCAGUCCUCUCCUGAUACCGUUGGCCUCACCAGACCUGAAUAAUAAUCAAGCCUUCAUUUUGAAACAAUACAUGCCCAUAUUAACCCCUGGACUGGUACGGCCUGGGAAGCUCAGCUUACGUGUCAACUCUUAGCCCUGCACUGAGCCCCUUGGAGGAGUUCUGGAAAUUGCUGGCCUCAUUCCUCCCUUUCCCUCCCUUCCUUGACUGUGACCUCAUUGACUUGCUCUAGAUGCUCUAAUCUUUCCCAGCAGCCUCAUUGCUUACACCUCGCAGUUUAUGCUGGCAUUGUUCCUCCUCCCAGACAGCUGCCUAAGCAAUCCUCUGCUCCUGUUGUCCCACUUUAAGAGGCUGAGGGUGAGGUCACAGCGUGGCUGGUUCAUCAGUGUUUGCAUUGCUCAGGCGGGGCUGUAGGAGCCUGAGCUUGCACGCCUGUCAUCCACCUACACUCAGAGACCUGUCAAUACACUGAUCCUGGAGGCAGUGUGCUCAUCCUCUUGAACUUGCUCCAGACAUUGUACAGAUGAACUCUUACAGGGCAGUUUACAGCCUUCACUGGGGCAGCUCUGGGGGAUGAUCCAAUUCUCUUAUUUUGGUUAUCUACUCCCAUCUCACCUCCCCAUCCCCUUUGCUCAGUCUAGAACUUACCUCUUGGGUAUGUCAUUCCACAUUAGCACUUCCUCCAGGAAAGGUGUCCCCGAGAGAGGGUUUGUCUUAGGUGGUUUCCCCUAACAGCAGAGCCUGGGUUGGGUAGUUUAUCUGGGAGUGAUUCCUGGAAGCUGGAGUGUGGGGAGUGAGGCGUGAAACAGACAAGGAGAAAAAUCCAACAAAGGAGGUGCAAUUGAACUGUUUCCACUACGGGCAUCUGAGGUUCAGUUCCCUGGGGAUCUCUGAGGACCUGGGUAUAAUGCUUCUCCAAUUCCUCCUUCUGAAAUAUAGGAGCCUGGGCACAUUUAUCUGCCAUCUCCUGUGACCCAAUGGCAAAGGAUUUCUCUGGGGGUAUUAACUCCUCCUUAUUCCUGGCCUGAGCUUCAGGCUGAGAGGUUUUCCAAGGCUGAGGAGAAAGGCAGGGAGGCAUAAGAGCAGGGAGAUCUUUGAGAUGAGGCUCGAGAUGGAAAGAAGGCAGCAGGGGCAGAACUGUCCACCUCAGGUGUGCGAAAAUCAGUGGGCUUAUCAAAGUGUCCUAACAGAGGGUGAAAUUUAAAUCAGUCAGCAGUAGCUUAAGAGAAGGAUUUGAUACUCAGGCUUUACAAUCGAUGACCUAAACCGAUGGUUUCAAAAUCACCUGUAGAUCUUACCUGCCGGUGUUGUUUCUUUCCUCCUACAUUCAGGUGAGGACUCGACCUGGUUACCACCCAUGAUUCCUUUAAGAUGUAUGAUUAAUACUUUAUCGGUCACUUACCUUUGCCUAGAUACCCUUGUGUUGUUACUCCUUCUCUAAUUUUAUCAAUCAGUUAACACAUUCAUCCCCCAAAUGAGACUGGUUCUUAUUUUGAGAUGUGAAUGCAUGUGAUUUUGCCUUUCUUCCAUCUGAGUAGGUCCUGGCUAUACUUCAUUGUCUCAGAGAAGGUUCCCCUUAGGACUAAAGCAGUGGAAGCCAGCAAGGAUUUCUGGCUUUUGUUUUCUCAGGGAGAUUUACAGAGGAGGCAAAGGGGUGAAGGACACUUGAUGUUCUAGAUAGUUUGUCUUGGAGAAGGUCCCCCACCCCUAGAAGAGGAGAUGGCCCUUGACUGAGGGGAAAAAGAGGCCAGAGAAAGAGAGAGCCAGAGGGUGCUGUGGUCCAGGAGAAGUGGGCCCCCAGGAUGGGUCCUCCAGGAUAAUACAAGUCUCCAGAGGAGAAUGGUUGGGUAAUACAGCGAAUUCCUACAUCCCACACCAGGCGCAGAAGCACCAAAAGAGGCUGUAGAUAGAGACAACCAAAUACCUUAGUAGCAACCAGGGCAGACAAGUAAUCGAGCCUCCUACCCAUAGUAGUUUGGCACAGCAUAAGAUCUUGGAUUUUUGAUAUGAACUUCAGGAAGAGGGCAAGAAAACUAAGGAAGGACUGAGGGUAAAUUUCUUGCCAGCAUGGGAAAGGAGGUUUGAAAUUAGUAAGCCUCCACUGAUUUAUUUAAAAUAAGUUUUUGGACUUAGAUGCCUACUCACCACACAAAUAUGUAUUGAGUUUUUACUCUGUGGCAGGCAUAUGCUUGUCAUUGAGAAUGUAAAUAUGAUUAAUACAUAGCUUCUUGCUUCAAAGGUAUGCACAUACAGUCAAGGGGGCGCACAUAUAAGAUGGUGAUGAUUCAAACACGAAUGCAGCAUAUGUAUAAUAAUAGGUAUCUACAGGUUUUAUAGAGUCUAAGAAACAGGGGUGAAAGGAAGAGUUUAGAGAAAGUUCUUGAAAGAUAAGAUGUUUAAAUUGAGCCUUGAAAUGUGGGUAGGAAUUCUCUGUCUAGAGAAUGGAUAGGAGUGGGUGGGAAGCUGUAUGGUCAUUGGGAAGAGUGAGGAGUCACAGGCAUGUGUAUUAGUUUUCUAUUCUGCAUAACAAAUCACUGCAAAUUUAGUAGCUUAAAACAACACAUGUAUUUAUUAUCUCACCGUGUCUGUGGGUCAGGGCUCUGGACUCUGCUUAGUUGGAUUCUCUGCUCCAGGGUGUCACCCUCCAGCAAAACAUAAUAAAACAAUUUUCAUGGUUCAGUGGUGACGCUAUUGUUAAGGAAAAAGAACUCUCCUGUAAUACAUCGUCUCUGCAGCCCAUUUGAUAAAUAUACUGGUUAAUUUACUCCUCCCCUCUGCCCCCCACCAAAACUGUGGUUCAGUGUCACUUUCUGUUUUGGAAGGAGGUAAACUUUUACUGAAAUGCA